rnacentral:rRNA from 1 species
CCAGACUCCUACGGGAGGCAGCAGUGAGGAAUAUUGGACAAUGGUCGGAAGACUGAUCCAGCCAUGCCGCGUGCAGGAUGAAGGUCUUAUGGAUUGUAAACUGCUUUUGUAAGGGAAGAAUAAGGGCUACGUGUAGUUUGAUGACGGUACCUUACGAAUAAGCAUCGGCUAACUCCGUGCCAGCAGCCGCGGUAAUACGGAGGAUGCGAGCGUUAUCCGGAAUCAUUGGGUUUAAAGGGUCUGUAGGCGGGCUGGUAAGUCAGAGGUGAAAGCGCUUAGCUCAACUGAGCAACUGCCUUUGAAACUGUUGGUCUUGAAUGGUUGUGAAGUAGUUGGAAUGUGUAGUGUAGCGGUGAAAUGCUUAGAUAUUACACAGAACACCGAUAGCGAAGGCAUAUUACUAACAAUUGAUUGACGCUGAUGGACGAAAGCGUGGGGAGCGAACAGGAUUAGAUACCCUGGUAGUCCACGCUGUAAACGAUGGAUACUAGCUGUUUGGACGCGAGUUUGAGUGGCUAAGCGAAAGUGAUAAGUAUCCCACCUGGGGAGUACGUUCGCAAGAAUGAAACUCAAAGGAAUUGACGGGGCCCGCACAAG